rnacentral:rRNA from 1 species
AUAUUAAAGAGUUUGAUCCUGGCUCAGGAUGAACGCCGGCGGCACGCUUAACACAUGCAAGUCGAACGGACGAAGCCUUUCGGGGCUUAGUUAGUGGCGGACGGGUGAGUAACACGUGAGCAACCUACCCUUAAGAGGGGGAUAACGUUUGGAAACGAACGCUAAUACCGCAUAAUAUAAUUGUGUCGCAUGAUACGAUUAUCAAAGAUUUAUUGCUUAAGGAUGGGCUCGCGUCUGAUUAGGCAGUUGGUGAGGUAACGGCUCACCAAACCAACGAUCAGUAGCCGGGCUGAGAGGCUCAACGGCCACAUUGGGACUGAGACACGGCCCAGA